rnacentral:rRNA from 1 species
GACGUAGGGCGCGAGCGUUGUCCGGACUUAUUGGGCGUAAAGAGCUCGUAGGCGGUUUGUUGCGUCGGCUGUGAAAUCCCGAGGCUCAACCUCGGGUCUGCAGUCGAUACGAGCAAACUAGAGUGUUGCAGGGGAGACUGGAAUUCCUGGUGUAGCGGUGAAAUGCGCAGAUAUCAGGAGGAACACCGGUGGCGAAGGCGGGUCUCUGGGCAACAACUGACGCUGAGGAGCGAAAGCGUGGGGAGCGAACAGG